rnacentral:rRNA from 1 species
GAUGAACGCUGGCGGCGUGCCUAAUACAUGCAAGUCGAGCGAACGGACGAGAAGCUUGCUUCUCUGAUGUUAGCGGCGGACGGGUGAGUAACACGUGGAUAACCUACCUAUAAGACUGGGAUAACUUCGGGAAACCGGAGCUAAUACCGGAUAAUAUUUUGAACCGCAUGGUUCAAAAGUGAAAGACGGUCUUGCUGUCACUUAUAGAUGGAUCCGCGCUGCAUUAGCUAGUUGGUAAGGUAACGGCUUACCAAGGCAACGAUGCAUAGCCGACCUGAGAGGGGGGAAGCAGACAGGGGAGAUGAGACAAGGACGAGAAAACGCAGGGAGGAAGCAGUAGGGAUUAGUCAGAAAGGGGCGAAAUCCUAAAGGAGAAAUGAUGAGUGAGUGACGAAGGUUUUAGGAUCGUAAAACUUUGUGAUGAGGGAAGAACAAAGGGGGAAGUAAAGAGGCAAGCAGGGACGGGAGAUAAUAAGAAAGAGACGGCUAACUACGUG